rnacentral:rRNA from 1 species
GAGUCUCGGCAAUGGAUAUCUCGGCUCUCGCAUCGAUGAAGAAUGUAGCAAAAUGCGAUACUUGGUGUGAAUUGCAGAAUCCCGUGAACCAUCGAGUCUUUGAACGCAAGUUGCGCCCCAAGCCUUCUGGCCGAGGGCACGUUUACCUCAAGGAUA